rnacentral:tRNA from 1 species
GCCGACAUAGCUCAGUUGGUAGAGCGCAUCCAUGGUAAGGAUGAGGUCACCAGUUCAACUCUGGUUGUCGGCU